UCGCGCGAACGGAUUAGGAGCUUGCUCCUAUGAAGUUAGCGGCGGACGGGUGAGUAACAUGUGGGUAACCUGCCCAUAACACUGGGAUAACUCCGGGAAACCGGGGCUAAUACCGGAUAACAUUUUGAACCGCAUGGUUCGAAAUUGAAAGGCGGCUUCGGCUGUCACUUAUGGAUGGACCCGCGUCGCAUUAUCUAGUUGGUGAGGUAACGGCUCACCAAGGCAACGAUGCGUAGCCGACCUGAGAGGGUGAUCGGCCACACUGGGACUGAGACACGGCCCACACUCCUACGGGAGGCAGCAGUAGGGAAUCUUCCGCAAUGGACGAAAGUCUGACGGAGCAACGCCGCGUGAGUGAUGAAGGCUUUCGGGUCGUAAAACUCUGUUGUUAGGGAAGAACAAGUGCUAGUUGAAUAAGCUGGCACCUUGACGGUACCUAACCAGAAAGCCACGGCUAACUACGUGCCAGCAGCCGCGGUAAUACGUAGGUGGCAAGCGUUAUCCGGAAUUAUUGGGCGUAAAGCGCGCGCAGGUGGUUUCUUAAGUCUGAUGUGAAAGCCCACGGCUCAACCGUGGAGGGUCAUUGGAAACUGGGAGACUUGAGUGCAGAAGAGGAAAGUGGAAUUCCAUGUGUAGCGGUGAAAUGCGUAGAGAUAUGGAGGAACACCAGUGGCGAACGCGACUUUCUGGUCUGUAACUGACACUGAGGCGCGAAAGCGUGGGGAGCACACAGGAUUAGAUACCCUGGUACUCCACGCCGUAAACGAUGAGUGCUAAGUGUUAGAGGGUUUCCGCCCUUUAGUGCUGAAUUUAACACAUUAAGCACUCCGCCUGGGGAGUACGGCCGCAGGGCUGAAACUCAAGAGAAUUGACGGGGGCCCGCACAAGCUGUGGAGCAUGUGGUUUAAUUCAAAGCAACGCAAAGAACCUUAACGGGUCUUGACAUCCUCUGACAACCCUAGAUAUAGGGCUUCUCCUUC
rnacentral:rRNA from 1 species